GACGAACGCUGGCGGCGUGCUUAACACAUGCAAGUCGAACGGAAAGGCCCUGCUUUUGUGGGGUGCUCGAGUGGCGAACGGGUGAGUAACACGUGAGUAACCUGCCCUUGACUUUGGGAUAACUUCAGGAAACUGGGGCUAAUACCGGAUAGGAGCUCCUGCUGCAUGGUGGGGGUUGGAAAGUUUCGGCGGUUGGGGAUGGACUCGCGGCUUAUCAGCUUGUUGGUGGGGUAGUGGCUUACCAAGGCUUUGACGGGUAGCCGGCCUGAGAGGGUGACCGGCCACAUUGGGACUGAGGUACGGCCCAGACGCCUACGGGAGGCAGCAGUGGGGAAUAUUGCGCAAUGGGCGGAAGCCUGAUGGAGCAACGCCGCGUGCGGGAUGACGGCCUUCGGGUUGUAAACCGCUUUCGCCUGUGACGAAGCGUGAGUGACGGUAAUGGGUAAAGAAGCACCGGCUAACUACGU
rnacentral:rRNA from 1 species